UACGUAGGGUGCGAGCGUUAAUCGGAAUUACUGGGCGUAAAGGGUGCGUAGGCGGUUUGAUAAGUCUGAUGUGAAAUCCCCGGGCUCAACCUGGGAAUGGCAUUGGUGACUGCACGGCUAGAGUGUGUCAGAGGGGGGUAGAAUUCCACGUGUAGCAGUGAAAUGCGUAGAGAUGUGGAGGAAUACCGAUGGCGAAGGCAGCCCCCUGGGAUAACACUGACGCUCAUGCACGAAAGCGUGGGGAGCAAACAGG
rnacentral:rRNA from 1 species